rnacentral:rRNA from 1 species
GAUGAACGCUGGCGGCGUGCCUAAUACAUGCAAGUCGAGCGAACAGACGAGGAGCUUGCUCCUUUGACGUUAGCGGCGGACGGGUGAGUAACACGUGGGUAACCUACCUAUAAGACUGGGAUAACUUCGGGAAACCGGAGCUAAUACCGGAUAAUAUUUCGAACCGCAUGGUUCGAUAGUGAAAGAUGGCUUUGCUAUCACUUAUAGAUGGACCUGCGCCGUAUUAGCUAGUUGGUAAGGUAACGGCUUACCAAGGCAACGAUACGUAGCCGACCUGAGAGGAGGAUCGGCCACACUGGAACUGAGACACGGUCCAGACUCCUACGGGAGGCAGCAGUAGGGAAUCUUCCGCAAUGGGCGAAAGCCUGACGGAGCAACGCCGCGUGAGUGAUGAAGGUCUUCGGAUCGUAAAACUCUGUUAUUAGGGAAGAACAAACGUGUAAGUAACUGUGCACGUCUUGACGGUACCUAAUCAGAAAGCCACGGCUAACUACGUG